CUGAGUCAUUCUCGUGUUGCAGGAUGGACAGGUGUAAUGGUGUGUUGUUAUUGUUGUUGUUGUCGGUGGUGGUGGUGGUGGUGCAGCACAGGGGAGGGUUCCAGAAAGCUGCUCCAUAACCAAGGAAUUCCUGCCUCUGUAAAGUUCUCUGAUCUUACCUACUGCUAUUUGUACUCUACGACAUACUCCCACAAGUCAACAGUUAUCUAAUUAUCACUGUGGGAUGAACGUUCACAUUAGAAUGAGCAGCAGGUUUUCUUAUUGAACUUUUGGUGCUGCAUGAACACAGGAAGGGAAAUGAUGUGUUCAAAUAUAUCUUGUUUACCGUUGGGGUUUCAUGGCGUAGUGACAGUCUUGGGAACCCAGUGUGUGUGGGAUGCCAGCGGUCAUAUCCCAUACAAAAUACAAUAAAUAAAUAACGUCAUGAAAAUAAUUCACAUCAUAAUUCUUUAAUACGUACUGGCGUGAACAUAAGGUGGUUAAAUAGAGCAACUUUACAAAAAAGAUGGGGAAGAUGGGGAAAUAGACCAACUUUAAAAAAAAGAAAAAGGGCCCUCGUGGCCCAGUGGGUAGAGUGAUGCACUUUGAGUUUGGCGUGAGGGAAGUGAGGGGCGCGUAGGUUCGAACCCCCCUCUCGGAACUCACAAAAACCUUGAAAGAGCAUCCCUCCAUCACCAUGUGUGAUGGAACUGCCCACGGGGAGGAGGGGAGGUGAGUGCGCAGCACCUCCCUACCCCUCCCCAGGGGAGGAAGGCACCGCCUUACCGGCCCCCGGGAGAGCAAGGGAGGUGAGUGCACAGCGCUUCCCUUCUCUCCCCUAGCUAACCCUGGCAAGUCUACGGACUACCAGGCAAAAAAUAAUAAAAAAAAAAAAUAAAUAAAUAAAUAAAUAAAAUAAAUAAGGGUAAGUGCAUAGCACUUCUCUUCUCUUCACCUAACAGAAUAAAAAAUAUAAAGGUGAGUGCAUAGCACUUCCCUUCUCUUCCAACCUACCAGGCAAAAGAUAGAAAAAAAAAUAAAUAAAGAAUUAAGGUGAGUGCAUAGCACUUCCCUUGUCUCCUAACCUACCACGCAAAAAAAAAAAAAAAUAAAUAAAAAAUAAAAUAAAAUAAAUAAAUAAAUAAAGAUAAAUAAAUAAAAAUAAAUAAAAAACCUCCUUACCACCUCGGACCUCGGGAGAGCAAGGGAGGUGAGUGCACAGCACUUCCCUUCUCUCCCCAAGUCUACGGACUGCCAGACCAAAAAGAAUAAAAUAUAUAUAGGUAUAAAAAAUAAAAGUAAUAAAAAAAAAAGAUAAAUGAAAAAAUAAGUAAAUAAAACAAAAACAAUAAAACUCCUACUCCCCCCUCAAUAAAACUGACUGAGUCUGGCAAUCAACAAUAAAUAAUAAAAAUAAAACAAUACCAACUGACUGACCCUGACAACCCCAAAGACCACCACCCACCUGGGAAGCACGGGAGGUGAGUGUGCAGCACCUCCCUACCCUUCCCAGUCUCCCAGUUUGACUUUGACCACCAAUCUGAUUCAUCCUACCAACUCCAAAGAGCAACUCCAACUGUACAGACCACCACCACCACCACCCUUCUGAUCUCGGCAAGGUGAGUGCGUAGCACUUCCCUGGACUGACCCUGACUGACUGACCCUGGCAACUCCAAAAACAACCAACCUGACUGACUUACAGAUAUGUAAUCACCUAACUGACUGGCCCUGGGGAGCAUGGGAGGUGAGUGUGCAGCACCUCCCUACACUUCCCAGUCUCCCAGUUUGACCUGACUCAUCCUGGCAACUUCAAAGAACAACUCCAAAUGUACAGACCAACAGUAUUUCCUACUCUGUGUCCCACUCUGACCCUGAUCCAUACAUCCCUACAUCCUACCCUGUCCUGGCUAGGUGAGUGCGUAGCACUUCCCUACCACCUGCCUUACUGACCCUGGCAACCAUAAAAACAACCAACCUGACUGACCUACAAAUCUUACUGUAAUCUGGCAACAGACCACCAAACUGACUGACUCUGGGGAGCAUGGGAGGUGAGUGUGCAGCACCUCCCUACCCUUCCCAGUCUCCCAGUUUGGCUUUGACCACCAAUGUGACUCAUCCUACCAACUCCAAAUGUACAGACCACCACCACCACCCCUCUGAUCUUGGCAAGGUGAGUGCGUAGCACUUCCCUUGACUGAGUGGGCCUGACUGACUGACCCCGGCAACUCCAAAAACAACCAAUCUGACAAAUGUUACAAAUGUAACCUGGGGAGCAUAGGAGGUGAGUGU